GCGGUUCAGAUUCAGGAGCUGC
rnacentral:siRNA from 1 species